UAAAACCUGAAUGGGGGUGCAAAACAAAGGUGAGUGGACCAAGUUCAUAUAUACAAUAAUAAUAAAACAGUUAUCAAGAUACUAACCCCCACAGUUUAUAUAGAGAAAACUACUAGCAUAGUAAGUGAUAGGUUUACUGAAAACCCUAGCAUGCCAAAAUAACAUCUCAAAAGAUAUAGUGCGGAAAAACAUCGCGGAAAUCAAAA
rnacentral:lncRNA from 1 species